rnacentral:rRNA from 1 species
GAUGAACGCUGGCGGCGUGCCUAAUACAUGCAAGUCGAGCGAACAGAUGAGGAGCUUGCUCCUCUGACGUUAGCGGCGGACGGGUGAGUAACACGUGGAUAACCUACCUAUAAGACUGGGAUAACUUCGGGAAACCGGAGCUAAUACCGGAUAAUAUAUUGAACCGCAUGGUUCAAUAGUGAAAGACGGUUUUGCUGUAUCUUAUAGAUGGAUCCGCGCCGCAUUAGCUAGUUGGUAAGGUAACGGCUUACCAAGGCAACGAUGCGUAGCCGACCUGAGAGGGUGAUCGGCCACACUGGAACUGAGACACGGUCCAGACUCCUACGGGAGGCAGCAGUAGGGAAUCUUCCGCAAUGGGCGAAAGCCUGACGGAGCAACGCCGCGUGAGUGAUGAAGGUCUUCGGAUCGUAAAACUCUGUUAUUAGGGAAGAACAAAUGUGUAAGUAACUAUGCACGUCUUGACGGUACCUAAUCAGAAAGCCACGGCUAACUACGUG